rnacentral:rRNA from 1 species
UACGAAGGGGGCUAGCGUUGCUCGGAAUCACUGGGCGUAAAGCGCACGUAGGCGGAUUUCUAAGUCGGGGGUGAAAUCCUGGAGCUCAACUCCAGAACUGCCUUCGAUACUGGAAGUCUUGAGUCCGGGAGAGGUGAGUGGAACUGCGAGUGUAGAGGUGAAAUGCGCAGAUAUCGGGAAGAACACCCGUGGCGAAGGCGGUUCUCUGGGACGGUACUGACGCUGAGACGCGAAAGCGUGGGGAGCGAACAGG